GGCGGACGGGUGAGUAACGCGUAGGAAUCUACCUAAUGGUGGGGGAUAGCCCAGGGAAACUUGGAUUAAUACCGCAUAAGUCCUAAGGGAGAAAGCGGGGGAUCUUCGGACCUCGUGCCAUUAGAUGAGCCUGCGUAAGAUUAGCUAGUUGGUGAGGUAAGAGCUCACCAAGGCGACGAUCUUUAGCUGGUCUGAGAGGAUGAUCAGCCACACUGGGACUGAGACACGGCCCAGACUCCUACGGGAGGCAGCAGUGGGGAAUAUUGGACAAUGGGGGCAACCCUGAUCCAGCCAUGCCGCGUGUGUGAAGAAGGCCUUCGGGUUGUAAAGCACUUUCAGAUGUGAGGAAAGGUUACAGAUUAAUACUCUGUAGCUGUGACGUUAACUGCAGAAGAAGGACCGGCUAACUCCGUGCCAGCAGCCGCGGUAAUACGGAGGGUCCGAGCGUUAAUCGGAAUUACUGGGCGUAAAGCGCGC
rnacentral:rRNA from 1 species